rnacentral:rRNA from 1 species
GACGAACGCUGGCGGCAGGCUUAACACAUGCAAGUCGAACGCCCUCUUCGGAGGGAGUGGCAGACGGGUGAGUAACGCGUGGGAACGUGCCCUUCGGUACGGAACAACAGUUAGAAAUGACUGCUAAUACCGUAUACGACCUCCGGGUGAAAGAUUUAUCGCCGAAGGAUCGGCCCGCGUUAGAUUAGCUUGAUGGUGGGGUAAAGGCCUACCAUGGCGACGAUCUAUAGCUGUUCUGAGAGGAAGAUCAGCCACACUGGGACUGAGACACGGCCCAGACUCCUACGGGAGGCAGCAGUGGGGAAUAUUGGACAAUGGGCGCAAGCCUGAUCCAGCCAUGCCGCGUGGAUGAAGAAGG